GGGGCCGGCCCCCACUCGGCUUCCCGAAACUUGAGGCUUGCGGAGAGACACGGGUGUCCGUGGGGCGGCAGGGCCGGGUCGCCCCGUGCCACAGCUAUCUUCACGUCAGUUGUACAAAGGACGUGAGCCAAAACAUGAUGGAAAGGAAGUCAUCUAAGGGUACGAGUGUGUCAAACUGGAAUUUCCCCAAAAUCUGCCUGCCUGCUCGCAGAACCAGAAGUCUAGGAUGCAACCAACAGCUACUGCAGUGAUGUGGAAUCUUAAAGGCAAACUGCUGUAGCUUAGUAAAAGUCAAAUACAAAGUCAUUGAAUUUAGCUUAGGGAUGACUUACAGAAACCGAAUUGUUGAGAAAGUGAGCAUAACUACCCCAAGAAGAGGCAGAGAAGCAAGUAAACCAAUCUAGCUAAAUAGCAUGCCUCAAGAGCUCUUUGGACUCAGGCUGAAUUAUUUCGUAUUUGGAAAGGCGAGAUUCUACUGAAGCCAAUGAACAUAGGCUAACAAGCAAUGUAUAAGAAAAAUUCAACUUCUGACAUGGAAUUUGAUGAACAAAUCACUGAAGUUGUUAAAAACAAAAAAAAAAAGUAUUUUAAAGACACUAGAAGCAGGAAGCCCGUUUUAAAAAAAAAAAAAAAAUCACAAAUCCAAAAAAGGAAAAUCUGUCUGGCCUUGUAUACUAGUUGUCAUCAACGGAACAACUAAGAUCAUUUCCUGAUCCCCUCUGUUGUGAAGGAGGAUGUUGAAAUUCCCUGCUGUACCUUUUAAAGCUGCUGGUAAUCUGGAUAACCUAUUAAAUGUCAGAAAAGUAGAUACUGCAGCAAACUGAUAAAUUGCUUUUUAAAUUAAGUCCAAGAAUCGUGAAAGAAAAUUGUGCAGUCAAGCUGCUAAAAAAAUAGAAAAAGUGCCUCUAAUGAAAGCUGUUAGAAUGGAUCGUCAGCA